AACUGAAUGUGUCAAGUACUGAAUUGCUGGCUCUAUGUGUAGCAUUUCCUGUUGUUCUUUAUUUUUUUCCCCAGUUUUCUCCAGAGAGAUGAAGAAAGCACCUGUGACCAGCAUUGGAUAUUUAAAACCUCUUUUACUCAGCGUAGCUAAUUUGGAAUAUGAAAGCUUCCCCUGAGUUCAGCAAAGGCAGCUUAACUUCAUAGAUUCCUCAUUAGUAGUAGUUUCAGCAGAGGCACAUACACGAAGUUGACUUCAGGACAGUUUCGCUAGACUAAUUUCAUUCACAUUAACAUAUUUCUUUGAAAGUGUGGGUGGUUUACGCUUGCUUUUGAAUUAAGAUCUUUUCUGAAGAAAACCACAGCAAGGUACUUUUCUAAAAAGCUGUCAGAAUCUGUAAGAAGUAUGUUGCAGAUUUCAUGCUAACGUAAGACUUGAAUGAAUAUAAAGGGAGAAAAAAAACUGUCAUAACUUGUCUCACUGUGAGCUGUAGAUGGAUAUAAGCCUUGACAGUGAGUACAAUGGAAGCUGGUUUCAGAGUCCUAGUAGAAAUUUUCUGUGAGAACGAUCCUUCAGUUAAAAUUAGGAAGGGUCUGGAAGGUCAUAAAUCUAUCAGAUUUGAAGUAUUCUGUUACGGAGUUGCAACUUGGUUUUGCUUAUCUUACAAUGGGAAUGGUGUAAAAAAUGAUAAUCUAAUCUGAUAAGUACCAAGUUAGGUUUACUGAUGUCCUGAGCCAUUGGGAUUGUCAUGUUUCUGUACUGACAAAAAAUCUUAAUAUUUUGUGUGGUGUUAGCUGGUCAGUAUGUCUCAGACUAAGUAGUUUCUGCUUUUUGAGGUACUUGGUCUUUUUUAAGGUUAUGAGUAGGGAUUUCUAAUGGGAAGUACUGAGGCUUGUUUUUCUGUAAUGCCAAGGGCUAAACUUUUACAGUUUAUUACCCUCAGUAUAACAUUUGGAAGAGAAUUGCUUUCAGUGGAUAAUAAAACACGAGGAGUACACGGAUGAAUUGUGAAGAAGCUUUGCUGAUGUUCAGCAUUUCAGAAGUGAAGUUUCCUGGUUUGUAAAGGCACUCUGAGGUUUGCUGGGGCGUACACACCACUCAGGUACAAAUUGCAGUGGAGUGAAUCAGAUCGCUUGCAUCCCAGCAAGGUUGUGCAGAUUGCCCUCAAUAACGGCUCAGCCUAAAGUGUCUGUUUUGGUACAGUUACCCUGGAGUGCUUAUGGCUUAUGUCAUUUGUUGUGGAGUUGGUCAAGUACAGCUGCAGGUCGAUGAUCAUCCAUUUAUAUUUUGUAGUCUUAGAAAAACUAUAGUUAUUAGGAGUAACAUUUUUUAAAGCAUCUUUUAAAUUUCCAUGCCCCUUUCAAGACAACCUUUCUCCCCCCCCCUCACCCUCCUUGAUGCAGUGACUGACAAUAAGGGAGGCUGCUCUCAGAGGAGUACCAAGUAUUUGUUUGGAAUUUAGAGGGUUGACCUAGGAGUGGUAGAACUGCUUAUAUUCAUUCCUUCAGAAAGCUCUCAGUAAACCAUUCUUGUCUGCUCCCUGAGAAGAUUUCAGGUUGUGUGACAGUGGGAGAAAGAAAUCCUCAGUUUGUGGGCAGAAUAAUAUAAUCACAUGUGCCUUAACUAAGCUACUAGAAAGUAUGUAGUUUAGGGUUAAAGGCAAAAUAGCCAAGUAAAUAACCUGGCAAACCACAGAGUUAAACAACUUUAUUUGGCUGUUUUACAGCUUUGUGGAAUCUUUCUUGCUCUUAAUCAGUCUGUCCUUUUCCUGUGAAAGGUAGAUAUACUCUAAACAAGGCUUCAUCUAGCAGGCACAGCAAGAUGUGAAGGGAAUGUCAGGUGGUGGAGCUUGCCCAGGUUCAAACAUCAGUGCAAGAGCAGAUGCAGGUUCCUUGGACUUCAAUGUGGAAAGGAUUCUCUCUCCUUACUAAGAUCAAGAGGAAAGAGGAUCAAGAAUAAAUGAGGCUUUGUGCAUCCUGAGUGCUCAUGGACAACACACAGAAGCAUUUGUUUCAUAGGCAGCCUUCAGUGGGGAAAAGUCAGUUUCUCUGCAGAGGAGCGCUGUAGGGAACACCACCGUGCAGGUGGUGAGAUGCAGCGUAACCAGGAGCUAAGUUGGUAAUCAUCUGGGAGAAGUCGCAAGUAACUGUUCUCUGUGGCUCAGAAGAGAGACUUAGCAAGGUAUGUGUGCUGACAGGUCUGUGGAGGGAUCGUGGUCUCCUUCAGACGCACCAUUGCUGCCGGAACUAAAAGUGGUGUAUAGCUGUAACGCCGUAGUACCACUGGUCUAUUUGAUAUUCCAGCAGUUUGGGGAACAAAUGGUUUGGCAUACCUUCAGGAACUUUGGCAGCUGCUGUCUGAUGAGGGCAACAUUGAUCAGCUAUCAGCUGUAGAGAAGCCUGGCUUUGCAGAACCUGCUGUUGAGCCUGACUUCUUAAAUUUUCUCAUAAAAACUUCUAUGCUUUACCAUGGGGCUUUGUGCUCAAUUUAUACAUAACUAUUAAUAUUGACAAAUUACCCACAUGCAUCAAGAAGUUUCUUCAAAAAGCUUCAAAACUCAUCCUUGUGUACGAGGAGAAGUAAGUCUCUCUUCAGGCUUACACAGGAUCAUCUUGUGCAUCAGUCUGUUAGCAUAAGAGAAUUUUUAUGCUUCUGUCAUAGCCCCAUAUUCUUGCCAGGAAAAAUUAACAUGUAUGUCCCGUUAUUAUUUUUAUCUCUAGCCAUUCUAAAAAUGCCAUUUUUUUUGCUGUACAUGAAAGAAACAUGUCCAAUAUACUGCAUACAUCCUCAGUCAACGAAUGGUGAUCAAAGCAGCCUGGGUUAUGCAGCUAGCACUAACCAUUUCCGUGAAGUGUUUGAUGAAAGACUUAGCUGAAGCGCAAAUUAUUUUUUUGGAGGCUGAUAAUUAAUGUUGUUUAGCUCUUACCCUGCACCGUUCCUAAAUGCUUCAUGUUCUCAGAGAAACCGGUUGCUCGAACUAAAAAUAUCCCUCCGGAAUGCUGACCUAACAAAAACACUUCAGGCAUCUGCUGUUGUACCUACAAAAGCUAAAGCAGUGCACGUCAGGGUACCAGCUUCCUUCUCACUACUUAAAAGAAAAAAAGCCCUCUGUGUCAGGGUUUACGUGAUCAACAGCAGGAGGCGUAACAGAUUUUAUCAGUAGAAAGCCUUCCCUGAUACAAGGUGACAAUCUUUAGCUGCACUGAGGCUUUUUUCCACUUUAACAAGUCCUGUGUGUUGACUAAAACUCAGUUAUGUGAAGACUUAAAGUUGGAAUUUUUUCACUGUUUGAAUGGGGAGAGGAAAAUAAAAACAAAUAAACAAAAAAAACCCCUGAAGUUGUGUACAAAUAAAACAAUAAUUCAUAAUCUAAAAUAGAAAAGAUACAUUCAAGUGCAUUGAGGGGGACAAGAACUAAAGCACCAUUUUUAACCAAGGCACCUGGGCAACUAAUAAAAAUUGUGGAAGUUCUGUUGCCUGCUGCUGCCUCUCUCUACUCCAGCACUACAAAGCAAGAGAUAAUAGAUCUGGAAAUGACAAAGGGAGCAACAAAGGUGUCUGAAAGUACCAAGGUGCUCUCUUGAAGAAAAAUUAAUGAUGUAAGAUAAAAAUGCCAAAAAAUCAGUUCAUUUUCUAAAGGGUGGCUUGCUGAGGAGGUUAAUUUUGUACAAUUAUAAGCAGCAAUUGUGCUGCGUAAGAAAUUAUAUUUUUUACUAACAAUAAUUUCACAAUACUAAAUGAAAGUUGUUGAGCCAUUCAUAAUGCACUGUCAUCCUCACAAGCAGAAUUAAGUGGUGGGAUGCCUUUCUGUGUGACUUUCGUGGGUGUUUAUGCUCAUGGUUCAAAAACCAACUUGAAACUCAGGAAAAAAAUUCCUUUUCAGGAUAUGCCCAAGAUUCAAAUCGGAGUCAAAGAAUGUUCUGGGAAAGUAUUCUAUUCUUUCUAUGCUUUUAUAACUCUUUCCUAGGUAUCCCCUGUUGACCAUCAUCACAAGCAGGAUGCUCACUUGGGUGAACAUUUGCUGAUCCAGCACAGCUGUUUUAUGUGUCUGUUGAGUAUCUGUUGUGAAAAACUUGCACUGCACUUUGAAUCCUACAGGUCUCAUCUUAUUUACGAGAGGCACAGGUGCUGCCUCACUUAGCAGUGUUUACCAGAAGUGCACGUCAUGUUAUGAAUGCUUUCUUGACACUUUUUAAUUCAGCAGAAUUGAGAGAAUGUGGCUCAGGUUCCUCCUCAAAUGUGAGAAUUUCACUCAUUAACCACCAAGCUGUCAGUGGAAACAAACUCAGGAUGUGACAUACUUUGUGGAAAUAGUUAUCUUUCCAGGGCAGGAUUUUCUUUAAACCCCAUUGUAAACAGAUAAUUUCAUUCAGAUUGAACUCUUAAGCAUGUGUUAUAGCAUUCUUUUAACUAUUUCCAUUAGUACAGCUCUUCUUUUGCAAUUUUUUUUUGCAAAUUCUCAAAUCCAGCCACUAUGAAAAAUGAAAAAAAUCCUCAAUAUGAAGUUAAAUUCCAUACCUAAACAGCUUAUCUCUUGCUCUUAUACUACACAAACUGGAGAUUAUACCUUUGCCAAACAUUUACCACAAGCCUAAUGUUAAUUUCUUCAAGCAUUUAUGUAGUGUCUCCUCUACAGGUCUAAUGCCUCUCUUUACAGAUAUUCUC